AAUCUUAUAUUUUAUAAUAAAAAAAAUAUUAAAUUGCAAAUUUAAAGAAGAAAACUCUAAGAUUU
rnacentral:tRNA from 1 species